CUGAAGAGCACCUCUUCAUAUACACCUCUUGUGAACCGUCGUCUUUCGGGACGCAUACCAUAAACGCCUGUGUUGUCAAUGAAUGUCCUGUUAUAUCAUAACAAAUA
rnacentral:misc_RNA from 1 species